AUGUUCUAUCCAUCUGUCAGGGGUCACUCAUCCCUUUUCCAGCUGGCCACACACUUUACUGGCCUUCUGAGUCUCUCGUCUUAUCCCACAGUUCUAUGUCAAGAAUGUUACGCAGUGGGUCCCCAAGAGCCCUCGGACAUGGUGAAGUCCGCUUCAUGCCACUCAGGAUGGUUCUGGGAAGAGGUGGAUCCGGGCUUCAAAGGCACAGAGACGCUGUAUUUGGGAACAAGAGGGCCCUGGGUGGGGGCCUUGGCAAUCAUGGCUAGCCCCUGGAUGAGAGGAAGGUUCAGGAGCUGGGGAGACGGCUCCCAGGCAGGAGGCAAGCCCAGCAAACCCAGCAGACCUCACCCAGGAAGCCCUACUCUUCACUCUCGCUCCUCUCCCACGCCUUUCGCCCAAGGAGCCCUGGGGGCUGCCAGUGAAGCUGCCCUUGUCCUUUGUCCUAGCCCAGGACCUCAGAAGGCCCACUCCCCAGGACCUAGCCAGCCGCAUACCCACUUUCUUCGGGGCCCUCCCGGGGUCAGGAACAGCUCUGAGCCCCAGGGAGAGGAAGCAUGCUGGGAGAGGGUCUGGCCUGGCGACCUCUAAGCAUGCAUUUCCCUGCAGUGGGCCUCUGUCCAUUUAUUGCCCCCAGUCCCAUUCGUUGCUUUGGGAAGCCCCUGCCAGCCCCGCAGCAGCCCUCCGGAGGCUUGCCUGACCUUCAGCGCAGCUAUAAACAGCACGGCUGUCAGCACAGCUAGGUGCUGCCCAAGAAGCAGCACCACGACCUUAAAAUUCCAGGAAUCGUCGGCGUGGCUGCCCCAGAAUAGCUUCAGCCUGUCCUCCUUCCCGUCCCCAGGGACCCUCUGUCACCCCACCACAGCCAAGAGAGGCUGGCGAAUAUCGGAGCGCAGCUAGGGGCAGAGGCCACUGGGCUGGUGCCCCAGGUGAGACUGCUGAGUGGGUGGGCGAGGCUGUAAGGAGUGGCGGCCUCGGAGCAGAGACAGGACCUCCCUGGACCCAGGCUCAGCUCCCCCAUCCUCAUAAGCAGCCCAUGAGGAAAAACAGGUGUAUUUUCACACGUGUAUAUCAGAUAGCAUGCUCACACGUGUGCCUUCCCCGAUUCAUUAUCCCCAUGUAACAGAUGAGAAGACCGAGGCUGAGCAGGCUUCCCCGAUUCAUUAUCCCCAUGUAACAGACAAGAAGACCGAGGCUGAGCAGGUGAACUGACUUUUCUAAGGUGACCCAGCUGUGAGUAGCAGAGCAAAACAAAAUCUUAACGUCUCUGCCAUAAAGUCAAGGACUGCAACACUCACCAAGAGGCAAGUUCCAGACUGUGGCCUGGCUGCUCAGGUAUUGGGGCUGGGUCUUUGGAAUUUCUCGGUCUCUGCUCCCACCCCUCCCCCACUUCCUGGAGAACUGGCUGGGGUUGGGGGAGGGGGGGGGGGGGUGAGAGGGCAGCUCAUGUUGCAGGCCCAGCCGCACCUGUCCAGGAUAAAUAAAGGCAUUUCCCCUCCACCCUCUGAGCCUCUCUCCUGAGCCCGUUUCUCUGUGGGUCCUCAGGCUGAGACCCUUACUGAAGGGAGGACUUGAGGGGCUGUUACUGCUCCAAGGUUGAUUCUGUGGGGCUGGUGGGCAAAAUGGGGUGGGUACAGGAGCUGCUACUCAGGCUGCAGGUGGCCAGCCUUCUUACAGGAGGAGAUGCAUCCCCACUCAGGGCUUUGUUACUAGUCCCUAGCCAGAGGAUGAGGCUGCAGCCGUGGGAGUUAGGGGUUACCAAGGAUACAGGAGCGGGUGGGCAAGUUUGAACCUGUUAGUCUGGCUCUGAAGUGAGAUGCCCAUCCUGGCCCUGUCUGGGGACCCACAGGCCUCAGGGUUAGGGUGCAUGUGCCCCUGCUGAGAAUGAGCCGGCCCUGCCUUUGCCUGUAUCGCCCCACUGCCAUACUCCACUAAUGCCUUGUUUUUUGCGAAGACUCAGGCCAGGACAUCCAUUGCCCCUCUAUGGGAAGAGGAUUCUUCCAGAGAGUUCUGGCCUUGUUCCCUCAGGGAAGAAGUUUCUGCUGCAGAAGGACCUUAAGUGCCCCAGCAGGAAAUACCACAGCCCUGUUGGGAAGAGGUGUGUGUGUGUGUGUGUGUGUGUGGAGCAGGAAUAUGUGUGUGUGGUGAGGCAGGUGUGUGUGUGUGUGGGUGUGGGAUGCUGGAGCGGGAGGGUGUGUGUA
rnacentral:lncRNA from 1 species